rnacentral:rRNA from 1 species
CCUACGGGGGGCUGCAGUGAGGAAUAUUGGUCAAUGGGCGGGAGCCUGAACCAGCCAAGUCGCGUGAGGGAAGACGGUCCUACGGAUUGUAAACCUCUUUUGCCGGGGAGCAACGGGGUCCUUGCGAGGGCCCGAUGAGAGUACCCGGAGAAAAAGCAUCGGCUAACUCCGUGCCAGCAGCCGCGGUAAUACGGAGGAUGCGAGCGUUAUCCGGAUUUAUUGGGUUUAAAGGGUGCGUAGGCGGGCUGUUAAGUCAGCGGUCAAAUGUCGGGGCUCAACCCCGGCCUGCCGUUGAAACUGGCGGCCUCGAGUGGGCGAGAAGAAGGCGGAAUGCGUGGUGUAGCGGUGAAAUGCAUAGAUAGCACGCAGAACCCCGAUUGCGAAGGCAGCCGUCCGGCGCCCUACUGACGCUGAGGCACGAAAGUGCGGGGAUCGAACAGGAUUAGAUACCCUAGUAGUC